CUCAGAUCCUAUUCUACGCCUAUGUGCUCAGACAAACUCAAAACAUAUUCAGGAAUAUGGAAUGGGUCACUGCAGUGAUCCUGAACAGAAGAUAAUUGUUCAGAGCUAAUGAUCCACAAAACAACUAUCGUGAGCAGAUCCUGGACCUAUGCUGCACUGUGUAAAAUGGGUGCCUUCAGUCCUUAGUUGGUUUGACAUUUGCACUUUGACUUUUUCUGCCCAGAACCCCGCAUCUAUUAUGUCCUCACUGAUUUUGGACGCCUGUAGUGAAGAUGCCUCACCAUCUCCUCCACUCCAGAUUUUCAAUCGCUGCAUUAAUGAAGAAUGGACUUUGAUGGAACUCAGUGAGCAUGGUGAUGAUGGAAUCAGAAUUGUAUACAAUGUGCAACGAUUGGACACUACACACCAUCUUUCCUGCCUGAUUGUUGCAACAGUCCAGGGUCACGGAGCAAAUUAAUUCAACAGACUACCAUAGGGAAGUUCCAUAGACUUGAGGAAUGACAGCAGUGGGUAUAUCAAUCAAAAGAUAGGAAAGGUGAUGGGGUGCUGGGGAGCAUGGGACCUGGCAUGACAAAAAUGGUAGGGGAAACAACAUGGAUCCUCACCUGUUUUUUACUGGGAGGGAGUCAAUUUUUUGCUGUAGUAGCUGGUACAGUGUAUUUUGGAUUCAGUAGGAGAAUAAUGUUGGUAACACACUCUUAUUUCAGCUUUUGCUAAGUAGUUCUUGCUCAAAAUCAAAGACUUUUCAGUUUCCUAUGCUCUGCCACAUGAGCAGGUGCACAAGAAGCUGGGAGGGGACUCAGCUGGGACAGCUGAUGUGAACAGGACAAAGGGAUUUUCCAUCACAUAGAGUGUCAUGUUCUGUGUAUAAACUGAGGGAAGCUGGCCAGGUGUCACCAGGCUCAGGGCACCAACCAGCAGGUGGUGUGCAAUUGUAUCGGGCAUCACUUGUUUUUCCUCAGUUGUAUUACUUUUGCUCUCUCCUAUUUAUUACUGUUGUUGCUUUUGUUGUUUUUGUUGUUGUUGUUGCUGCUACU
rnacentral:lncRNA from 1 species